GGAGAGAUGCCCGAGAGGCCGAAGGGGCGCGACUGGAAAUCGCGUGUGGGGCCAAAAGCUCCACCGAGGGUUCGAAUCCCUCUCUCUCCGCCA
rnacentral:tRNA from 1 species